GUGCAAGCGUUAUCCGGAUUCACUGGGUUUAAAGGGUGCGUAGGAGGGCAGGUAAGUCAGUGGUGAAAUCCCCGAGCUUAACUUGGGAACUGCCGUUGAUACUAUCUGUCUUGAAUACCGUGGAGGUGAGCGGAAUAUGUCAUGUAGCGGUGAAAUGCUUAGAUAUGACAUAGAACACCAAUUGCGAAGGCAGCUCGCUACACGAAUAUUGACUCUGAGGCACGAAAGCGUGGGGAUCAAACAGG
rnacentral:rRNA from 1 species